UACGUAGGGUGCGAGCGUUAAUCGGAAUUACUGGGCGUAAAGUGUGCGCAGGCGGCCGCGCAAGUCGAGUGUGAAAUCCCCGAGCUUAACUUGGGAAUUGCGCUCGAAACUACGUGGCUGGAGUGUGGCAGAGGAAGGUGGAAUUCCUGGUGUAGCGGUGAAAUGCGCAGAUAUCAGGAAGAACACCCGUGGCGAAGGCGGCUCUCUGGGACGGUACUGACGCUGAGACGCGAAAGCGUGGGGAGCGAACAGG
rnacentral:rRNA from 1 species